rnacentral:rRNA from 1 species
UAGGGAAUCUUCGGCAAUGGACGAAAGUCUGACCGAGCAACGCCGCGUGAGUGAAGAAGGUUUUCGGAUCGUAAAACUCUGUUGGUAGAGAAGAACGUUGGUGAGAGUGGAAAGCUCAUCAAGUGACGGUAACUACCCAGAAAGGGACGGCUAACUACGUGCCAGCAGCCGCGGUAAUACGUAGGUCCCGAGCGUUGUCCGGAUUUAUUGGGCGUAAAGCGAGCGCAGGUGGUUUAUUAAGUCUGGUGUAAAAGGCAGUGGCUCAACCAUUGUAUNGCAUUGGAAACUGGUAGACUUGAGUGCAGGAGAGGAGAGUGGAAUUCCAUGUGUAGCGGUGAAAUGCGUAGAUAUAUGGAGGAACACCGGUGGCGAAAGCGGCUCUCUGGCCUGUAACUGACACUGAGGCUCGAAAGCGUGGGGGAGCAAAACAGGAUUAGAUAC